CCUCUCCCCGGCGGCCCUUAUCCCCCACAAGCACAACGACCUCUCCCCGCUGCCUCCUGUCACACCGCGGCCUUGCCUCGCCGCCAACCCCGCGGAUCUUCCCUAGAUCGGCUCUGCCGCCGCCAUAGUACUGCCCCAGAGCAGAUCGAGAUGUGUGGGAGGAGGCAUCUCGAAUUGGACUGAGAUUCAGUCCGUUGAUGUGCCCGCCGUAAUCAUCGCCCCCCGUGCUUGGCUCACACAGUCGCUCCGGGAAGGAGUUCGCAGCUCGUGUACGUGCUCGGUUGCUGAAGCCCAAUGAAAUGUAUGGCCUUGAGCUCCAUUAUUUAGGCCUGAUCUCAUGAGAGGUGGUAUGUCUAUUGCAUUGGCAUACAAUAAGGUAAAGAAUUGCAUUGGCAUACCAAAUCUGUUGAUGAAAUGUGCUUCAGGAGUGCUAAGCAGUGAAAAAAAUAAACAUAAUAGCAUACCAAAUGUACCCUGUUAAGCAUAAAUGGUCUGAGUUAUAUUAGGAGGCGUGCCCAUCCGUCUGAAGACUGCUCUUAGUAUAUUCUUCUCUUUUCCAUGUUGUAACAUUUAGAUCAGUCCACUUAUCGGAUUUUAAUUCCAUGUGCUCGGAUGCAUAUUUGAAUAAAUCAACCAGUCCUUCUAGCUGUUGUACCAACAAAUGAAAAAAAUUAUGAGCAUGACAAGUGAGAAAUAAGAGAAAAAAUAGCUUCUUAUGAAAAGAUGGGGCAGUAGGACUAACUACUAACCGUAUUAGUGAGGUCCUUGCGGUUCAUUGAUGGGCCUAGCGAGUCGAGCACUUGAACACAUAGUUUUCUGGCAUUUAUAACACAUAGGUACCAGUGAACUUCGUCCAUGUUUAUUGGAAUGAAUAUCUGAAGAAAAUGAUUAUUUUAGUUGUACUCCUAUGUGGACGAAUCGGUCGUUCUCGCUGUAAUUCAUAGAAAUAUGUAGAAAAGUAAGACUAACCGUAUCAUUUUCCAUAUACUCUUUGGCUCUGUUUAAUACCCAUGCAGGUGUGGCAUCCGUGUUAUCUGAGGACGGAUAGCAACCGAUCUUUAUCAUGUUAGAGAUGCAUGCAUUCUCUAAGAACACACUUCCACCUGACCUUACUUGUAGAUGCUCCGUAGCCAAUCACGAUCUUCAUCGGCUAUAGAAAUUGAGUGACUGUAAGUUAGGAAAUCAAAGAUUGGAUAUGCAGUGUUUCAUGUAGCUGGCAUCACCUGUGUCGGAUUGUUUUUGUUCUCCAGUUGUAAGGACUACUGUAGAUUUGGCUCGAUGCCGUUUGUCAUGUAGGCUUUGUAAUAUACCUUGUUUAUAUUGCUCAUACCGGGCACUUUCCCUCUGCCUCUUGAGUGCUUGUUUUGCUUCUGUAUAAUAAGUGUUAAUUAGGUACACGACAACAUGAGCAACAAUGUUUUGUCAAUCAGAUGUACGGUGUAAGUGUAAAUUAUGUAUGAUAGUUAAUAUGAGCCACAACUGAGUACCAUAUUAACUGCUGCAUCUGUAGGCUUGAAGUGGCGGUCGUAACACAGUCGGUUGGGAGGACUCAAUGUCAGAGUCGAUACUAUGGACAUUUUCCUUGUUAGAACCGGCACUAUCUGAUGUUCUUAAUGAAUUUGGAGCAUGAAGUGGAGUCUGAUCACUCAUUAUCAUAUCAACAGGUCCUGAAAGGGAGUACGUGCCCCACUAUGCUCAGAGGAUGCCAUAUUGUCAACUCAGUUUGUCAUGCAGAUCAUGAUGUACUGUCAGAAAGUAGUCAUAUGUCCUCGAGAUGCCGCGGGCCACACGGGGUGAUAACACCGGAGGUAGGGCAGCACGCCGGGUGGAGAACGUCGCGGCCACCAGGGGCGACGGCGGUGUGGCGACGACGGCGGGGCGAGGAGAGGUUGGGCAGCAAGGCGGGUCGAGGAAGGACGUGCACCGGGGUGGAGGACAUCGCGGCCACCAGGGGCUAGGGUGGCGUGGCGACGGCGACGGGGCGAGGAGAGGUACGGCAGCAAGGCGGGUCGAGGAUGUCCACCGGGUAAGGACGUCGCAGACACCAGCGCUGAUCGCGGCGGUUCCUGGCGUGGUGGCGGCGUAGAUCGUGGAGGUGCUGUUUAUUUCCCAGGAGUUGUCAUCGUGGGGCUGUGUAGCAUCCUGAACGGGGGAGUCUGCCGGCAGAACAUUUGUUGUGAACUGUCGAUCUGAUUGUAGUAUGGUUGACGUAACGUGGACAGUUAGAUGGUACCAAGUGAGUCUGAUCGGACGUGGGGGGUUAUCCUGUGUGCACUUUCUGGUGUGGAUGUAGGGGAAGUCAUGUUUGGUCUUUUAAUAGUAGUGUAGAAGUGUAGAUGUAGAUUUGAAUAUCUUUUUUUUAAUAUAUAUAUUUUUUGAAA